ACUGAGACACGGCCCAGACUCCUACGGGAGGCAGCAGUGGGGAAUUUUCCGCAAUGGGCGAAAGCCUGACGGAGCAAUACCGCGUGAGGGAGGAAGGCCUUUGGGUUGUAAACCUCUUUUCUCAGGGAAGAAGAUCUGACGGUACCUGAGGAAUAAGCAUCGGCUAACUCCGUGCCAGCAGCCGCGGUAAUACGGAGGAUGCAAGCGUUAUCCGGAAUCAUUGGGCGUAAAGCGUCCGCAGGUGGUUUUUCAAGUCUGCUGUUAAAGACUGGAGCUCAACUCCGGAAAGGCAGUGGAAACUGAGAAACUAGAGUUCGGUAGGGGUAGCGGGAAUUCCCAGUGUAGCGGUGAAAUGCGUAGAUAUUGGGAAGAACAUCGGUGGCGAAGGCGCGCUACUGGACCGAAACUGACACUCAGGGACGAAAGCUAGGGGAGCGAAAGGGAUUAGAUACCCCUGUAGUCCUAGCUGUAAACGAUGGAAACUAGGUGUGGCUUGUAUCGACCCGAGCCGUGCCGUAGCUAACGCGUUAAGUUUCCCGCCUGGGGAGUACGCACGCAAGUGUGAAACUCAAAGGAAUUGACGGGGGCCCGCACAAGCGGUGGAGUAUGUGGUUUAAUUCGAUGCAACGCGAAGAACCUUACGAGGGCUUGACAUGUCGCGAAUCUCCUUGAAAGGGGAGAGUGCCUUCGGGAGCGCGAACACAGGUGGUGCAUGGCUGUCGUCAGCUCGUGUCGUGAGAUGUUGGGUUAAGUCCCGCAACGAGCGCAACCCUCGUCUUUAGUUGCCAGCAUUAAGGUGGGCACUUUAGAGAGACUGCCGGUGACAAACCGGAGGAAGGUGGGGAUGACGUCAAGUCAGCAUGCCCCUUACGCCCUGGGCUACACACGUACUACAAUGGUUGGGACAAAGGGCAGCGACCCCGCGAGGGAAAGCGAAUCUCAUCAAACCCAGCCUCAGUUCAGAUUGCAGGCUGCAACUCGCCUGCAUGAAGGAGGAAUCGCUAGUAAUCGCAGGUCAGCAUACUGCGGUGAAUUCGUUCCCGGGCCUUGUACACACCGCCCGUCACACCAUGGAAGCUGGUCACGCCCGAAGUAGUUACCCUAACCUUUCGGGGGGGGGGACUCCUAAGGCAGGGCUAGUGACUGGGGUGAAGUCGUAACAAGGUAGCCGUACCGGAAGGUGUGGCUG
rnacentral:rRNA from 1 species